GGGUCAGUAGGUUGGUCGUGCCACCGGUACGUACUGGUCUCACUGAUUCCUCCUUCCUGAAGAACCGUAAUGCCAUUAAUUUGGUGUUGCGGGGAAACAGGACUGUUACUUUGAAAAAAUUAGAGUGUUUAAAGCAAGCUAACGCUUGAAUACAUUAGCAUGGAACAAUGAAAUAGGACGAUCGAUCUUGUUUUGUUGGUUUCUAGGAUUGACGUA
rnacentral:rRNA from 1 species